rnacentral:rRNA from 1 species
UGCCAGCAGCCGCGGUAAUACGAAGGGACCUAGCGUAGUUCGGAAUUACUGGGCUUAAAGAGCUCGUAGGCGGAUUAUUAAGUCUGAUGUGAAAUCCCGCGGCUCAACCGCGGACGUGCAUUGGAUACUGGUAAUCUUGAGUCCCGGAGAGGAGAGCGGAAUUCCUAGUGUAGAGGUGAAAUUCGUAGAUAUUAGGAGGAACACCAGUGGCGAAAGCGGCUCUCUGGACGGUGACUGACGCUGAGGCACGAAAGCAUAGGUAGCAAACAGGAUUAGAUA